CAUGCAGUCGACGGCAGCACAGUUGAGGGUAACCUUGAUGGGUGGCGAGUGGCGGACGGGUGAGUAACACGUAGGAAUCUGCCCUAAAGAGGGGGAUAACCCGAGGAAACUCGGGCUAAUACCGCAUAAUGUCUAAGGAAGAAAGGUGGGUAGCAAUACCUGUCGCUUUAGGAGGAGCCUGCGACUGAUUAGCUAGUUGGAAGGGUAAAAGCCUACCAAGGCGACGAUCAGUAGCUGGUCUGAGAGGAUGACCAGCCACACUGGGACUGAGACACGGCCCAGACUCCUACGGGAGGCAGCAGUGGGGAAUAUUGGACAAUGGGGGCAACCCUGAUCCAGCAAUGCCGCGUGUGUGAAGAAGGCCUUCGGGUUGUAAAGCACUUUAGUUGGGGAAGAAGAUUAUUAGUUUAAGAGAUGAAUAAUUUGACGGUACCCAAAGAAUGAGCACCGGCUAACUCUGUGCCAGCAGCCGCGGUAAUACAGAGGGUGCGAGCGUUAAUCGGAAUUACUGGGCGUAAAGGGCGUGUAGGCGGUUUAGUAAGUGAGUUGUGAAAUCCCCGGGCUUAACCUGGGAACUGCAACUUAUACUGCUGAACUGGAGUACUGUAGAGGGUAGUGGAAUUUCCGGUGUAGCGGUGAAAUGCGUAGAUAUCGGAAGGAACACCAGUGGCGAAAGCGGCUACCUGGACAGAUACUGACGCUG
rnacentral:rRNA from 1 species